AGUGAACGCUGGCGGUAGGCCUAACACAUGCAAGUCGAACGGCAGCACAAUAAGAGCUUGCUCUUACGGGUGGCGAGUGGCGGACGGGUGAGGAAUACAUCGGAAUCUACUUUUUCGUGGGGGAUAACGUAGGGAAACUUACGCUAAUACCGCAUACGACCUACGGGUGAAAGCAGGGGAUCUUCGGACCUUGCGCGAUUGAAUGAGCCGAUGUCGGAUUAGCUAGUUGGCGGGGUAAAGGCCCACCAAGGCGACGAUCCGUAGCUGGUCUGAGAGGAUGAUCAGCCACACUGGAACUGAGACACGGUCCAGACUCCGACGGGAGGCAGCAGUGGGGAAUAUUGGACAAUGGGCGCAAGCCUGAUCCAGCCAUACCGCGUGGGUGAAGAAGGCCUUCGGGUUGUAAAGCCCUUUUGUUGGGAAAGAAAAGCAGCAGGUUAAUACCCCGCUGUUCUGACGGUACCCAAAGAAUAAGCACCGGCUAACUUCGU
rnacentral:rRNA from 1 species